rnacentral:lncRNA from 10 species
AAGCAGGCUCCUCAGGGUAGUAGGGACAGCAGCUCUGAUUCAGACAGCUCCAGCAGUGAGGAGGAGGAAGAGAAGACAUCUAAGUCUGCAGUUAAGAAGAAGCCACAGAAGGUAGCAGGAGGUGCAGCCCCUUCCAAGCCAGCCUCUGCAAAGAAAGGAAAGGCUGAGAGCAGCAACAGUUCUUCUUCUGAUGACUCCAGUGAGGAAGAGGAAGAGAAGCUCAAGGGCAAGGGCUCUCCAAGACCACAAGCCCCCAAGGCCAAUGGCACCUCUGCACUGACUGCCCAGAAUGGAAAAGCAGCUAAGAACAGUGAGGAGGAGGAAGAAGAAAAGAAAAAGGCGGCAGUGGUAGUUUCCAAAUCAGGUUCAUUAAAGAAGCGGAAGCAGAAUGAGGCUGCCAAGGAGGCAGAGACUCCUCAGGCCAAGAAGAUAAAGCUUCAGACCCCUAACACAUUUCCAAAAAGGAAGAAAGGAGAAAAAAGGGCAUCAUCCCCAUUCCGAAGGGUCAGGGAGGAGGAAAUUGAGGUGGAUUCACGAGUUGCGGACAACUCCUUUGAUGCCAAGGAAGAAAAUGUACUGUUCAUGCUGACACAGAUAUUUCAGUCUGCAUGGUAAAAGUUCUAAAUCUUACUACAAAAUAAUAAACUGGCUGGUUUAUAA